ACUAUUUUGGCAGAAAAAUGUUUUAAAUUUAGAAUUUAAAUAUAUAUAAAUUAUUUAUAUAAAUAGUA
rnacentral:tRNA from 1 species